rnacentral:rRNA from 1 species
AGCGAACGCUGGCGGCAGGCUUAACACAUGCAAGUCGAGCGGGCCCUUCGGGGUCAGCGGCGGACGGGUGAGUAACGCGUGGGAACGUGCCUUCUGGUUCGGAAUAACCCUGGGAAACUAGGGCUAAUACCGGAUACGCCCUUUUGGGGAAAGGUUUACUGCCGGAAGAUCGGCCCGCGUCUGAUUAGCUAGUUGGUGGGGUAACGGCCUACCAAGGCGACGAUCAGUAGCUGGUCUGAGAGGAUGAUCAGCCACACUGGGACUGAGACACGGCCCAGACUCCUACGGGAGGCAGCAGUGGGGAAUAUUGGACAAUGGGCGCAAGCCUGAUCCAGCCAUGCCGCGUGAGUGAUGAAGGCCUUAGGGUUGUAAAGCUCUUUUAUCCGGGACGAUAAUGACGGUACCGGAGGAAUAAGCCCCGGCUAACUUCGUGCCAGCAGCCGCGGUAAUACGAAGGGGGCUAGCGUUGCUCGGAAUCACUGGGCGUAAAGGGCGCGUAGGCGGCGUUUUAAGUCGGGGGUGAAAGCCUGUGGCUCAACCACAGAAUGGCCUUCGAUACUGGGACGCUUGAGUAUGGUAGAGGUUGGUGGAACUGCGAGUGUAGAGGUGAAAUUCGUAGAUAUUCGCAGGAACACCGGUGGCGAAGGCGGCCAACUGGACCAUUACUGACGCUGAGGCGCGAAAGC